rnacentral:rRNA from 1 species
CCUACGGGAUGCAGCAGUGGGGAAUAUUGGACAAUGGGCGCAAGCCUGAUCCAGCCAUGCCGCGUGAGUGAUGAAGGCCCUAGGGUUGUAAAGCUCUUUCACCGGUGAAGAUAAUGACGGUAACCGGAGAAGAAGCCCCGGCUAACUUCGUGCCAGCAGCCGCGGUAAUACGAAGGGGGCUAGCGUUGUUCGGAAUUACUGGGCGUAAAGCGCACGUAGGCGGGUAUUUAAGUCAGGGGUGAAAUCCCAGAGCUCAACUCUGGAACUGCCUUUGAUACUGGGUACCUAGAGUAUGGAAGAGGUGAGUGGAAUUCCGAGUGUAGAGGUGAAAUUCGUAGAUAUUCGGAGGAACACCAGUGGCGAAGGCGGCUCACUGGUCCAUUACUGACGCUGAGGUGCGAAAGCGUGGGGAGCAAACAGGAUUAGAUACCCCAGUAGUC